rnacentral:rRNA from 1 species
GGAAGGAUCAUUAACGAAUUCGAUCGAGGUUGUGCUGGUUCUCACAAGUGCACGCCUCUUAAUUCAUUCACACCCAUCGUGCACCUUUAGAGAUUCGGAUGUCGUGUCGUCUCCCCCCGUUUACGUGCCCUCGGGCUAUGGGGCUUCGACGGUCCGGUCUAUUUCAUACACCCCUAUCAGUAUUCAGAACGUCUUCCGCAGAAAUGCGAAUAACAAAUAAUAUAACUUUCAACAACGGAUCUCUUGGUUCUCGCAUCGAUGAAGAACGCAGCGAAAUGCGAUAAGUAAUGUGAAUUGCAGAAUUCAGUGAAUCAUCGAAUCUUUGAACGCACCUUGCGCCCCUUGGUAUUCCGAGGGGCAUGCCUGUUCGAGUGUCAUGAAACUCUCAAACCGCAUCUUUAUCGAUGUCGGGCUUGGACUUUGGACGUUGCUGGGUUAACGCUCGGCUCGUCCCAAAUGCAUUAGCUGACUCUCCCGGCUUCAGUUUUUCGGCGUGAUAAUCACAUCUACGUCGAUGCCGCGAGGCGCUGGACCGGGACGCAAGCGGCUCAUAACGGUCUUCGGACGAUUUUUCAUUCACAUUUGACCUCGAAUCAGGUAGGACUACCCGCUGAACUUAAGCAUAUCAAUAAGCGGAGGAAAAGAAACUAACAAGGAUUCCCCUAGUAACGGCGAGUGAAGCGGGAAGAGCUCAAAUUUUAAAUCUGGCGGUCUCCGGCCGUCCGAGUUGUAAUCUAGAGAAGCGUUAUCCGUGCCGGACCGCAUAUAAGUCCCCUGGAACGGGGCGUCAUAGAGGGUGAGAAUCCCGUCUUUAAUGCGGACUACCGGUGCUAUGUGAUGCGCUCUCAAAGAGUCGAGUUGUUUGGGAAUGCAGCUCAAAAUGGGUGGUAAAUUCCAUCUAAAGCUAAAUAUUGGCGAGAGACCGAUAGCGAACAAGUACCGUGAGGGAAAGAUGAAAAGCACUUUGGAAAGAGAGUCAAACAGUACGUGAAAUUGUUGAAAGGGAAACGAUUGAAGUCAGUCGCGUCUGCCGGGAUUCAGCCUUGCUUCUGCUCGGUGCAUUUCCUGGUAUGACGGGUCAACAUCGAUUUCGACCGUCGGAUAAGGGUCGGAGGAAUGUGGCAUCUUCGGGUGUGUUAUAGCCUCUGGUCGUAUGCGUCGGUCGGGAUCGAGGAACUCAGCAUGCCUUUAUGGUCGGGGUUCGCCCACGUAACGUGCUUAGGAUGUUGGCAAAAUGGCUUUAAACGACCCGUCUUGAAACACGGACCAAGGAGUCUAACAUGUCUGCGAGUGUUUGGGUGAAAAACCCGAGCGCGUAAUGAAAGUGAAAGGUUGGGACCCUUUGGGGGCACCGACGCCCGAGCCGGACCUUUUGUGAUGGCUUCGAGGUAGAGCAUAUAUGUUGGGACCCGAAAGAUGGUGAACUAUGCCUGAAUAGGGCGAAGCCAGAGGAAACUCUGGUGGAGGCUCGUAGCGAUUCUGACGUGCAAAUCGAUCGUCAAAUUUGGGUAUAGGGGCGAAAGACUAAUCGAACCAUCUAGUAGCUGGUUCCUGCCGAAGUUUCCCUCAGGAUAGCAGAAACUCAUUAUCAGCCUUGUGUGGUAAAGCGAAUGAUUAGA